GGCUGGUCUGAGUGCAAUGGUGUUUACAACUAAUGGGUCACAACCAGCUACAGAUCCUUUUGUUCCUUCUUCACUCCCACUGCUUCACUUUACUAGCCUAAA
rnacentral:Y_RNA from 1 species